AGUGAACGCUGGCGGUAGGCCUAACACAUGCAAGUCGAACGGCAGCACAGUAAGAGCUUGCUCUUACGGGUGGCGAGUGGCGGACGGGUGAGGAAUACAUCGGAAUCUACUUUUUCGUGGGGGAUAACGUAGGGAGACUUACGCUAAUACCGCAUACGACCUACGGGUGAAAGCAGGGGAUCUUCGGACCUUGCGCGAUUGAAUGAGCCGAUGUCGGAUUAGCUAGUUGGCGGGGUAAAGGCCCACCAAGGCGACGAUCCGUAGCUGGUCUGAGAGGAUGAUCAGCCACACUGGAACUGAGACACGGUCCAGACUCCUACGGGAGGCAGCAGUGGGGAAUAUUGGACAAAGGGCGCAAGCCUGAUCCAGCCAUACCGCGUGGGUGAAGAAGGCCUUCGGGUUGUAAAGCCCUUUUGUUGGGAAAGAAAAGCAGCAGGUUAAUACCCCGCUGUUCUGACGGUACCCAAAGAAUAAGCACCGGCUAACUUCGUG
rnacentral:rRNA from 1 species